UGCAGGCAUGGGGGGUCCUCCUCUGAAAUGGCAGCCAAGUGUGCAGAUGGUUAUGUUGGAACCAGCAGAUAUCGGGGGGGUCUCUUCUGCCUUUUCUCACACCCUCAGGUGUGCACGGUGGCGUGUUUUUAAAUUGAGCAUUUUAACGUCGGAUGUUUACUUCUGCUGUGUAUAUACUUUCUGGGCUUUAUUUUGUCUUAAGACAGGGUGUCCUGUUAUCUCUAUCCGGCCUUCCUCUUCCACAUGAAGUAACCAGGGUGUAGUUCUCUGGUAUUUGCUGCCUGAUACCUCGAUGGGCUUGGAAAGUGGGGGACUUCUGCUCACUGGUUUCAGAGGACGCUGCCUUUGCCCAGGGGAGAUGUGGGAAACAGUAUUCAUGGAUCGCAACGUAGCUACAUCCAGAGUCACAUUUAAUUAAAGUACAACAGUAGACUUUGGGGUGGGGAGAGCGAGGGGGUGAAUUUUAGAAUAUUAGAGCGGAAGAGGUCCUGAAGACAUCUAGAUAGUUCCUUACCUAAUAGAACCUAUAUACUUGUUUCUUUUACUGUCUAGACCACUUUGGCUGUUUUGAGGGAUGUUGGUUAUUUAGAUCUUCAUUCUGGAUCAGGGAAGUGGCUUUUAUUUGCACUAAAAAGAAAUGUAAGGAGCUUUUAAUAUUGCGAUUUGACUCAUCAGUAUGACACAUUUGUCGUAUUCUGUGUAAAGUGCUCAAUGCUUGAGAAUUCUGAUGCUUUGCAGAAAAAGAUGAAAAAGUUCCUUCCACUUCUGUUGAGUUUCUUUUUUAAAAAAAAAAAAACACCAUAAUAAAACUUAGCGUUCUGUUCUUCCACAGGGGGGAAAACGGUUGAUGUGGCAGCUUUUUAAUUCCGGAAAUCUUGAGCCAGAGUAAUUAAGGACGGUUUUUCAUAACUUUAACGGGCACAAGGAGACUGGGCAGUGGCCUAAAACAGCUUCAGUGAAUGCAGUGUUCUGUUCUUCGGGCCAAAGUUCUGCUUUUUCAGGAAGACUGACUUCAUUGUGUGCCGCACGUGAACGGACCAUCUCCAACCGUAGAGAAAGCACUAGCAUUCGAAACUGGCAUCCCCCUUGGGUGUGCGGCAUGCUUUCGCCUCGUUUUCUUACUGACUCGAACAUAAAAUAAGUAAAUAAAUAACCCCAGGACCAUUUAAAUCUUGAGGGACCGCUUUCCCUCUGAAUUCAUCUGUGUUCUUGGUCAGUUGAUGUUUCUAAUUAGAAUGUAGCUCUAAGCAGACACUGACGCACAGAAAUGUCAGUCUCAUGAUUUGUAACGACUACAGAGAAUCCCAUCUUACUGGUGUGUCGGAGUUUUUAAUCAUUUCCCCAGUGUUGGACCUUUGAAAGGGUUACCAGUUUUUCACUGUUUUAUAAAUAGUGUUGCUAUGAGCAAUCAUUGUAUAAUUUUUGUCAGAGAGAAAGGCCUACUUCCUGGAAGCAAGUUCCUGAAAAUGGAAAUAUAACAGGUCACAUGUGUAUUUAUCCUUACUUCACCACCGGCACAUUUUAUGUAAAUGUAGCUUUUUUUUUUUUUUUUUCAGCUUCCACCAGCUUUGGGAUUUAUCUUUCUUACUGGCUUUUGCUAGUGAUGACAGACGUGUCAUAAAUCUAACACUUUUUCAUUUGAAGUUUUCAAAUUUCUGGUGACGCGGUAUUUUGCAGCUUCUCCGGGCCCUAGGGAUCCGCGCUCAAUUUGCCACAACAUCUAGAUAAAGACCUCCGGAGUCAGUCCAUGAAAAGGAAGGGGAGUUGCUGAGUCAGCCCAGACCAGAAGGAGUGGCCGAGAUCAUUUGCCCGAAGAACGGCAGCGAGCGAGUGAAUGUUGCAUUGGUUUACCCACCUACACCGACUGUGAUCAGCCCCUGUUCCAAGUCAAAUCAGAGACUUGUCAUUUAACUGCCUGCCUUUGACCAUGUGUAAAAUAAUGGUGCUGCCAUACGCUUUAUAAAGAAAAACCAUCGAUGACUGUUACUUAACUGGAUCUUCCUUAUAAAUUCCAAGUUUUUCUAUUUCUCAUUUAAAAAUUUUUCUGUGUUUUAUUUCCCUAUGGGGAGAGACAGAGAAUAAAGAGUAUCUCCAUACUUUCUUGGAAAAUUAAGUGGAAAAGAUAGUGCUUCUUUCCCUUAUGUCAUCAUUUUUACUGUACCCAAUCUGUGACUUUAGGAGCACCAAGUUUUAAGGGAAGAACGUUGGUGAAAAGCACAGAAACCAAUGACUUCUAUGGCUAUGGAAUUUCCGUGGAGAAAAGAGAGCAUCAGAACUCACCUGGACCAUCAUUUUGUACCCGGCAAACCCUCCACACUCCCACGCGCGUUCCGUGAACUUGAGUAAUAACUGUCCAGGGUGCUUGCAGAGGAGGGAGCGCACCUGGCCUGUAGAUGAGAACAGAGUCUGUGAAAUUUAGCAGAGCACUUUGAAAGCCCUUCACAUCUGGUGGUCAGACCUUGAGAUAGUGAGCUCCCUAACUGGAGAGCAUAGUCCCGCAUUGGUUAUUUAUAAAUACAGAGCCUCUGAUUGGAUGGUCUGCUGCCAAGAACUAGUAAAACCAUUGUUUUAAAAUCUCCACCAAGUAAAACGUGAAAAGCAAAGCAAAUUGCUCUCGUCUACUCCUAAUUGGGGCCAAACAGUAUCUGCUGCAAUAGUAACACGUUCCUUGAAGAGUAUAAAGGACUCUGUUUACAGCUGCCUCCUCUGUGUGUUGAUGGAAGAAUGUGUAAGACAAACUGUUUUCUCACCAGUGUAAGGCAUGAAAAGUGAGUCAGCUGGUAUUAUUCUUUUCCUUCUUUUAUAAAGUAUUGACUCUUGGAAUGCCACUAUACAAAGUCUCAACAUAUUUUUUAAAAGAAACAAGCAAAGCAGCUGCAUUGUGAAAAAUCUUAAGUUGAGUUUUGUAGAUUUUGUGCCCCAGGAGUUGACUUCACUAACUCCAGAACCUCAGUGAAACAAGUAUGAUUUGUCAUGAUCAUAAAAUCAAAUGGGAUCAGACUAUUUCUGCAUUUUUUGAUACUUGAAUACGACACCUCAAUCUUGAGAUUUCGUUUUCUUUUAGAACACAGUCACGAGAUUACCUGCUUAAUCCUUUGGUCACAGUUCUCUGUGUGCGUGUGUGCGUGUGUGUAAACUGAAUGGUAACAUUUAAUUGCUUUAUGGACCAUUGAAUUGUUGGGCAUAGGAGUUUUGUAAUUGGCACGAGACAGUUCCCAAACUGUCAAAUUAACUGACUUUGACCAGUCUUUUUUUGCAAGGACACUUAAGGAUGUGACUUCGGGCUAACUCCCCAGGGGACCAUAUUAAGUGAAAAAAAAAAAAAAAAUGCUCCUUUGGGUGACAUACCCU